rnacentral:tRNA from 1 species
GGGCACGGCGGGCCGGUCUCCUCUGCGGCUCUCCCGCAGCCGCAGUCGGAGCUGGUUCCGCGACCAGCUGUGCUGC